rnacentral:rRNA from 1 species
CCUACGGGGGGCAGCAGUGGGGAAUAUUGCACAAUGGGGGAAACCCUGAUGCAGCGACGCCGCGUGAGUGAAGAAGUAAUUCGUUAUGUAAAGCCCUAUCAGCAGGGAAGAAAAUGACGGUACCUGAGUAAGAAGCCCCGGCUAACUACGUGCCAGCAGCCGCGGUAAUACGUAGGGGGCAAGCGUUAUCCGGAUUUACUGGGUGUAAAGGGAGCGUAGACGGCAGUGCAAGUCUGGAGUGAAAGGCGGGGGCUCAACCCCCGGACUGCUCUGGAAACUGUACGGCUGGAGUGCAGGAGAGGUAAGUGGAAUUCCUAGUGUAGCGGUGAAAGGCGUAGAUAUUAGGAGGAACACCAGUGGCGAAGGCGGCUUACUGGACUGUAACUGACGUUGAGGCACGAAGGCCAGGGGAGCGAAAGGGAUUAGAUACCCCUGUAGUC